rnacentral:miRNA from 14 species
CAUGUGUGCAUACAUGUGUGCACCUUCCAUGUAUGCACAUGUGAACUAUACACACACACACACACACACACACACACACACACACACACACACAGAU